AUGCAGGCGACGGCCGCAUCCUUCCUCGCCCGCCCUCUCCCGUGGCCCCGUCGCAUUGGCAGGAGCGCGUAUGGGGCGGUGGCGGUGCACGGAGGCGUCUCGCCGUUGCCACCACGGCUGCGGGGGGUACGGUGCUCCAUGAGCCUCUCUAUCGGCGCCGGUUCGAGCGACAUCGGAGACAGCGGAUUCAGCUACCAGUAUGCUCCUGUCUUCCGAAGAUACCGUGAGCGGGAUCCCUACAAGCUUCUUGGUGUUGACCGUGAUGCAUCUGAAGAAGAGAUCAGAAGUGCAAAAGACUUCCUAGUUCAACAGUAUGCUGGUCACGAAGCAAGUGAAGAAGCUAUUGAAGGUGCUUAUGAAAAGAUAAUAAUGAAGAGCUACCAGCAUAGGAAGAAAACGAAAAUUAAUCUGAAAACCAAGCUUUUAAAGCGAGUCGAGGAAUCCCCGUCAUGGGUAAAGGCAUUUCUUGGAUACUUUGAGGUGCCAUCAAUGGAUAUUAUUUCCAAAAGAUUAUUCUUUUUUGCUUUCAUCGCUGGAUGGAGCAUAGCAACUUCUGCUGAGAAUGGACCUGCAUUCCAGCUCGCAAUAUCACUCUUCUCGUGCAUAUACUUCCUUAAUGACAAGAUGAAGAACCUUCUGAGAGCAUCGACUACUGGGUUUGGAGUACUUGUUGGUGGCUGGAUUGUUGGUUCUAUGUUGGUCCCUCUUAUCCCAACAUUUAUCAUCCCACCUACAUGGUCGCUUGAGCUUCUUACCUCCUUGGUUGCAUAUGUUUUCUUGUUUCUGGGGAGCACUUACCUCAAAUGA
rnacentral:rRNA from 1 species